rnacentral:misc_RNA from 1 species
GAAAUGUGAUAAGUAGUGUGAAUUGCAGAAUUCAGUGAAUCAUCGAAUUUUUGAACGCACAUUGCGCCCUUUGGUAUUCCGAAGGGCAUACCUGUUCGAGCGUCAGUAGACAUCCUCAAGUAUAGCUUGGUCUUGGACUUUUUGUCUGAAGUAUUUCGGACUGGUCUUAAAACUAUCGGCGGCGAGGCGAUCGACUAUGGAGUACAGUAUAUUGUUGCUAUCUGUCGAGUUGUAUGCGCGUGGCCGGAAAUAUAAUUUAUUAUUAUUUGACCUCGGAUCAGGUAGGAAUACCCGCUGAACUUAA